AAUUGCUUGUACGGAAUAUAUAUGGCUUUUACGGUUACGGCUAGCCGACACAUCAUCAUCAAAUGCUACCAAAAAAAUAUUUCCACUGUUUGGAGGAAUAGUAACAAAUUGACGCUGCGUGGUGAAGUGUCGAUUUUUUAGUUGUUGUUAGUAUGUCUUAACGAGGCAAAUUUCUCUCGUUUUAUAUUUGAUAGUGCGAAUAUAUACAAGUACAGUGCUCGCUCGCCGAUGGUUAAAAUAUAUCCACCUUUAUUGUUUUAAAUAAAAUUAAAGUUGUGUUUUUUAUAAAAUAAACAUAAAAAAUUCAUAAAAAAAUUCAGUAAAUAAUAAUGUGAAAUAAAAUAAUAAUAAAAGUUAAAAAAGACCAUAUCACUUGUUCUUGGCACAUUUUGAUAACAUCAUUUUUUCCUAAUAAACUGCUAUAUAAUAUGCUCCUUCACUAAGGACAAUUAAGAAUAAAGUUCCUAUUUAAUAAAUACUAAACUUUAAGAAAAUGAACAAAUUUGUAAAUAAAAUAAUUAAGUAUAAGUAGGAUGAAAAAUAUGGUCACAAAAAACAAAGAAAUGUAAAAUAUAACAGUACAAAGCGCGUGAAAUAAUAAACAAAAACUUAUCAACGAGUACAAAGCGAAUGGAUGCAGCAAUAAGCUUUUUCAAGUCUUCUCAUUGUUCUCUGACUGAAUAGUAAUGAGAGUUAAAAGAUCGUUAGAGCAAAAUUUCACAAAUUCAAUUUGAUGAAUAAACCUAACACAAGCAACGCAGUUGGUCAACGUGAACUGUACGCAAUCACAUUUUCCAGAAAAUGUUCAAAGCUUCUACAAAACUGCAUAAACGUGUUCAAUCUCACUUCGAACACUUGUCACUAACUGCUUGACAAUACCACUUCAGAUCGAGCGAUAGAAAUAAACUUAUUUGGCACAAGAUCACACGGUCUUAAUUUUCAAAGUGAAUCGUACGUAAGCAUUGUAAUUGAAUAUCGCUAAUAAUGCCUUUAAGCUUUCAAUUGUAAAGCUUAGAAACACAUAGGCUUAAUUCUAUUCUAACCAUAACCAAUGUGCCCGUAAUAUGUCAGACUUACCCUUAAAACCAAUAGAGCGGAAGUCAAUAACAACAAGGGAAAUAUCGCCAACAACAGUUACAAACGCAGGAAUUGCAACCGUAACAGCAACGGAAACCACUGCUGCGAAAUCAAAACCCAAGCUGUCAAAGUUUGCUACUUUAAAAUCUCACAACAAAGCACAAUACUUAAUCCCUUUACAACAUAAAGAAACAGCAUACAAAGCAACAUCACAGUCGUUGCAACAAUCGGCUAUUGAUAUAUUUGCGGCAGAUAUUAAGAAACCAACUUCACCACAGCAUCUCGAGCAUCUGACCAGAUCCAAAGCAGUUUUUGAACGGAAACGUCGACGUAGAUGUAAAAACAAACGAUCCUGUUCCUUAGUUAAUGUAAAAGUAGCUGACUUAGACGAGAACCUUGAAACGGAUGACCAAGAACCAAUGUUAAGAGCAGAUGUCGAACUUUUUCAAGGAAAAAUCGUUUUCAAUUUAGAUGGUAAUGCAUUCAUAAUCGCUACAGAAAGCUCGACGCAAGAUUCAAUUUUGAAUGCAAAAACAGUACAAAAAACGACUGAAUCUAAGCAAUUACUGGCGUCAAACGUGGUUGGGGAAACAAAUAUUGCAACUAUAAACUUAACAACAACUACUGUAGCAAGUGCGACAACAACAACAUUGAAUACAUCAUCGACUACGUUAGAGGAAGCACCAGGUGGUCAAGAUGGACAAAGACCCGAUGCGUUAAAAUGCAGCGCAAGCCCUCGUAUACAUUCAUUUCGAAUUGUGAGUGCUCAGGAUGCUACAACUGCCAACGUUGCUAACACUACCGCCACCGACAAAAGCAGUGUGGAGAAAACGGAGUUCAGAAAAUUGUAUAUCGAACAGCAACAGCGUAGCCGAUACAGCACUUUUGACGACAACGAUAGCGAUAGUAGUAAUGGCCACAAAAUAUCUUCCAAAAUACAAAAGCCGAUAUUGAUGUGUUUUAUAUGCAAACUAUCAUUUGGGAACACAAAAUCAUUUAGCUUACAUGCUAACACAGAACAUCAACUGACACUACAAGCAAAAGAACAGCAUUUAUUAAACCGCGAAUACUCGAGCGUAAUUAUACAGCCGCAAAAUAUGGAUGAACGGCCGCAAAUAUCAUUCCUUGAGCCAAUUGAUGUGCUCAAUGUAAUCCAAAACGACAAUUUAAAUUCUGAGACUGAUAUUCAAUUUAAUGAGGGUACAUCACAGGUAUUUUCUUGUAGAAUAGAUAGUACGGUUGAUACUUCCAACUCUGAGAAAUCGACUGCAGGAUGUGUAAUACGUGAAAAAUCGGAAAAACCAGCGCCAAUAUCGUCACACUCUAAUUCACUAUCGCCAUCUUCACCGUCAACUUACCCAGAGUCAUCAGUAGUUCCAAAAACGCAGACAGCGUUGUCACCAUCAAAAACAGUACCAAAUACGUUGUCCAGCGCAAUAGAAUGUAUUAACGAUAGCCAUCUAUUGCUAACAACCUCAUUCUCCAAAUGUAUGCUCCAGGAGCAGCAAUAUGAGGUGAACGUUCCUGUGCCAACGAUAGCAGUAACAACACUGUUAUCAGGCCCUAAAUUUGACAGCAGUGAACAACAACAGCAGCAAAAAAUUAAGGCAAGUGCACCCAUAGAAUCCGUCGACAGUACAGUCCAAAGUGCAUCGAUAUCACCACCACUUUUUCCCUCAACAGAAAAUAUGUUAGGAGCUUCCACACUGUUAUUACCAAAAAAAGAAUCAGAAAAUAUUACUAAACUGGACGAGACACAUAGUUUUGACACUAGAAUUACAUCUGGCAGCGUUUUAUGCUCAAAUGCUGAUGUUCAAUUGAAGCCCAGAUUGAUAGCGUCCCCAAUCCCUACAACCAAAAACACCUCUAUGACCUGUGAUAUGGGCAAUAAUGACAAACGCGGUUUAUAUUCAGACAUCCUUAGCCCACCUUUGUCAACAUUUCGGGAAAGCCAUGAUAAAAUGCUGCAAAUGUCCACAUUAGCAGCUAAUGCUCCAAUUACUCAAGGUGACUGUGAACAUUUUCAAGAGCCUUCAGGAACAGUAUCAGAGGAAGAUAAUAUGUUGAAUUCAACAGAUACACUGGCAGCCACAGUUACAUUUUUGCAGCAGCAGCAACGAAAAAUUGCAACAAUGUCCAGUAGCUCCUUUGACCCCCCUCAACCGGGAUUAGUGACCAUUGCACCCACGCCUACUCAACUCAGCUGCUUACAAGCUUCUUUGGCAGCUUUAUCUGAUGACCUAAAUUUCAACUGUGGUACUACAGAUGCACACAAAACUAACGCUAAAUUGUUCACUGAUUUUUUGCAACAGCAUCUUACUUUACAGCAGCAAAAAGCCUUUUCCGACAUUAGUGGCAAUUAUUCCGAACAUGCCGACCAUAACGAUGGCGAAAAUUGCGAAAUUCAACAAUUAAAGACGCCUCCAUAUCACAUUUCAAACCACCAGUUUACCAACAACACGUCGCAAUUCUCGCCAAAUCGCAAUAAUGGUAGUUGUACCAAUAGCGCUAUUAUGAAAUCUCCUGCACACAUGGCCACAUCUCCUACAGCUGUCAAUGUCUCAACUGCGGCAGUAACAGUGACAGCGACAACCCAGCAACAACAUGCAGCUGCUGCUGUAGCAGUCGCUGCUGCAGCAGCAGCAGCGGCCGCAGUCUCAGUGGCUAACAAUACCCCAAGUUUUACUAUCGGCGCAUGUUCGGACCACAUCAACGGACGGCCAUUAGGCGUUGAAUGCGCUCGGUGCGAAAUGAUUUUAAAUUCAACGCGACUUAACACCGGCGUUCAAAUGUCAACUCGCAAUUCUUGUAAAACAUUGAAAUGUCCUCAAUGCAAUUGGCACUACAAAUAUCAGGAGACACUCGAGAUUCAUAUGCGUGAAAAACACCCGGAUGGUGAGAGUGCUUGUGGCUACUGUUUGUCAGGUCAACAGCAUCCUCGUCUAGCACGCGGCGAGUCAUAUUCUUGUGGAUACAAACCGUAUCGGUGUGAAAUUUGUAAUUACUCUACAACGACAAAAGGCAAUCUUUCUAUUCAUAUGCAGUCAGAUAAGCAUUUGAAUAAUAUGCAGGAGUUGAAUAGUUCACAAAGUAUGUUAGCAGCCGCCGUCGCUGCUGCUAAUUGUGGAAAAGCGGAUGUUGCAUCCAAAAUGUUGAUGUCCAACAAUGCUGCAGCUGCUGCUCAACAACAACAGCAACAGCAGGCACUGCCGCAGUCUCAGCCGCAACAACCGCAUUCUACGCUUGUCGCCAGUUCGUCAAUGAUCAGUAGUGGAGGUCCUUCUAUAAACGCUGGUGGUCGCGCCAGUGUUGAUGGCAUUGGAACUAAUUGCAGCAUGCUCAAUAAAAAUAAGCCGUCCUUUCGUUGUGACAUUUGCAGUUAUGAAACAUCUGUGGCACGUAAUCUUCGUAUACAUAUGACCAGCGAAAAGCAUACGCAUAAUUUGGCCGCACUGCAAAAUAAUAUCAAGCACAUACAAGCCUACAGCUUUUUACAGCAGCAUCAGCAAGUAAUGGCCGCACAUCAGCAACAACAAUUGGCUGCAGCAACACAGGUGCCACAAUCACAAUUACCAGCAUUGGCCAAUAGUUUUUUGCCAGAAAUCGCUUUAGCUGAUUUAGCUUAUAAUCAAGCGAUCAUGAUACAAUUGCUGCAGCACAACUCUGUUAGUCAACAACAGCAGCAACAUGAAUCUGUUGCCAAAAUGCAGAUAAAAACUUCACCAUGUUCCUCACCGCGUUCCAUGCAAAUAGAACAGCAGUCAACAGUUCACCAGCAGCAACAGCAACUCCAACAAUUACGUCAACACUUGCAGCAGUCUUAUUCACCUAACAAUAGUUCAUCAUUAUUACCUUCGGCGGAUCCGUUCAGCACUAGCGAUGUACAUUUUUCUUCCAACGUUAGUGGUAGCUGCAGCAACGACGAAUCGUUGGAGCUACCCAUAUAUGCCGAUCCAUGUCCAAAAAGCGUCUAUAGUUGUUUAGUAUGCGGGGUGUACGGCACAAACAUUUUAGACGAACUAAACCAACAUUUGUUAAUUGAUCGCUCACGUAGCUGCAAGAAGCAGCAAUCAACACCAACCAAUACGGUCAAAAGCAGUUGCACUGAGAAAGCUAAUGUAACUAAUAGCAAUGAAGUGAUGGUGAUUCUAAACAACAAUUACAUUUGCCGAUUGUGCAACUAUAAGACUAAUUUAAAAGCAAACUUUCAGCUGCACAGCAAAACAGACAAACAUCUACAAAAAUUGAACUAUAUAAAUCAUGUACAUGAAGGCGGUACACAAAACGAAUAUAAGCUAAAACACUUACACCUAGCUUCCAACACAGUACAACUUAAAUGUAACUGUUGUGAUUUCUACACAAAUUCCAUCCAAAAGCUGUCAUUACACACACAACAUAUGCGUCAUGAUACAAUGCGUAUAAUUUUCCAACAUUUACUACAUAUCAUGGAACAGCAAAAUUUUGAGCGAAACAAAACCGAACAAAUGCCACCACACUCAAAAACUCAUUCACUUAAAGAUGCAGUUGAAAUUGUUCCAAAUAUUCGUGAGUCGCACAGUGUUAUGCCUGUUCAUGAAAAUGAUGGAAGUCCCACCAACCGUAGCAGCAGCAUUGUAGUGGAAGACACGCCCCAGUCGAUGCAAAAAUCUUUAACAUGCCAAUUGUGUGGUUUUAGCACGUUCACGUUGCUUAAUAUGAUCCAACACGUAAAAAGUAUGCGUCAUAUGCAAAUAGAACAGUUUGUUAAUCUACAACGACGCAGCGAGCAACUUGAUCCUCCUAGUCUCGAUGAUAUUUUCAAGGUGGUAGAACGCCCUACACUACAGUCUUUGGCACUAACAGUUGCUGCAAGACAAGAAGAAAAUAACAGAAUUGAGAAUGUCAGUACUACAUCUGUAUCGCCAUUCGGCAAUUUUCCGGUGCCAAUGGCACGCUUACCAAACGAUGAUUUCGGCUGUAUUACGUCUAGUAGAGAUCACAACUCUUUUUCACCGUCAUCUAGCUCCUCAACUGCUUCAGGAAACACCAGUGUACGCAACAAAAGCUAUAAUAGUGUCAAUAUUUUUAACUUUCAAACUAUUAACGAUGAUAAAGAUGCUUCAUCAUCAGUCUUGCCGGGAGGUAGCCUCUCCGUCAUGCCCUCAGUUGUAUUUAAAUGCAACAAUUGUGAUUUCUUUGCACAUUCUAAAACAGAAAUGGAACUGCACCUGAGUGCAGUACAUCCUCAAACUGAGCCAGAUUACAUUAGCAUCCCAACGAACUCUGCUGCCAUAGAAGCAUUUCAAGCGGCUAUAGCGGCAGCGACAGCAGCAGCUUCUGCGGUGACUGCCACCUGUGCUCCUAGUAAUAAAUCUUAUUCAGAAAAUGAUAAUUUCUCAACUAUUGUUAAAAGAGAGCGUCUCUGUACCCCAAAAGAUGAGGAAAACGUAAAGUCCACAGAUGUACAAAAUACAAUGUCGCUACAGGAUGUGUCGACAGUUACACCGUGGCUCACAUCGACCCCGAAUAUAAUAAGUAAUAACGAAACUUCAGCAGCUAUAGUUCAACCCAAAUCAAUUCAUAAUGUGUUACGUGAGCUGGAAAAGACCGCUGAACAAGAAGAACAGCUAAUUGAGGAUACAAGUGGAGUCAACGCAUUGGUUGAAAGUACCAAAACAAUUUCCGGAGAAUCAGUCAACGUUCAGUGCCCCCUCUGUACAGAUACAUUUGAUAGCAAACAGACAUUGGAAAUGCAUUUGAUGAAUGUACAUAGUGUGAAUCGCGAUGGUUUGUCACGUCUCCUACAAUUAGUAGACACUAGCGCUUGGGAUUUGAACGGUAAAACCUCAGUAACGCUUACUGUAGCUAAAGAGUGUAAAGGCUCAAAUAUUGCCACCGAAACAACAACUGAACAAACUAUCACUGGUAAUUUUAAUAUUAAAGCAUCGACAGAAUUAGACUUAUCGCUAAUGGAAGUUUCAAAUGACACGCCUUUAAAUCUCAACGUUUCACAUACCUCGACUUACAUGCAUUCCAUGGAAUCGCUAAAUAAUAAUAAACUAUCAUGUGAACAGUGUGGUUCAAAAUUCAAGCAUGAAUUACAAUUGUUGCAACAUGCGCAAAAAAUGCAACAUUUCAUAAUGUUGCCAAAUGGUGAUCACCGUUGUUUGGCUGCUAGUCAUCUAAGUCGACCGUGUCAAUCGACAUUUCCCACUCAAGCUGCAAUGGUCAUCCAUUAUAAAAAUACUCACACUAGCUUGGUCAUAUCCGAGCGACAUGUGUAUAAAUACCGAUGUAAACAUUGUUCACUUGCAUUUAAAACUCAAGAAAAACUAUCUACCCAUUUGCUAUAUCACACUAUGCGCGAAGCCACCAAAUGCAUGUUCUGCCAACGAAAUUUUCGUACUACUCAAGCGCUACAAAAGCACAUCGAUCAAACACAUCAUAGUAGCGGCGAUCAACAUGUCGCCAGUAACAGUCCAUCGACAGCAUUAAGCUGUAGCGGCCGUGGAUCCCCAGCCUUACAGAUGAGUCACGUCCAAAACAAAACCCAAUUAAAUGAAGUUAUAUCAGACAAUGCAGCUAAAAACCAAGACAUCAAUGAUUUAGCAGUUCGUGAAUCGCCUCCAAUGACACCGAAAGCAAAUGAAUCUCCCAACGCCGCGCCUUCUCCAUUACCAGCUAACAUAUUGCAAGACCAGCAGCAACAACAACAUGUUGCUGCUUUCACCGCUGCGUUAUUAAAUCAACCAUUACAGCAACAACAGCAUAUCAGCGGCGAUGAGCUAACAGAGAGCGGUGGCCAUCUGACGCAGCAUUUACAAAUGAAACCACGUAGUUCCCUCUUAACACAAAAAUAUCUUCACCAGCAGAAUCUUCAAAACAUUCAACAAUUGCCACAAUUGACUGCAGCAGCAUCUACAUCCGGAUUGCAAUUGAAUCCUGUCGAGAUGUUUAAUUUAAUGCAGUUUCAUCACAUUAUGUCAAUGAACUUUAUGAAUCUUGCACCGCCGCUUAUAUUUGGGGUCGGCACUAAUUCUGGAUCUGGUGGCAAUGUUGAUUUGUUAACCUCCACUCACACACCUAAAGUUACUCACAACACAAGUGCCAACGCUCUUCAAUGUGGAAACGAUAUGUCGGUACCACGCACAUCAGUGUCGCCACGAGCGGACCUAAUAGGUACAUUGCAGCAACAUCCUCAGUCCCAAUCGCAGCAAUCUGCACCAACAAAUACCGUUCAGAUGGGAAGUAAUCAGAAACGUGCUCGGACGCGUAUCACUGACGACCAGCUAAAAAUUCUGCGAGCCCACUUUGAUAUUAAUAAUUCACCAAGCGAAGAAAGUAUAAUGGAAAUGUCACAAAAAGCGAAUUUGCCAAUGAAGGUCGUCAAGCAUUGGUUUCGGAAUACGUUGUUUAAAGAACGUCAAAGAAACAAAGACUCCCCCUACAACUUUAAUAAUCCACCAUCUACAACACUCAAUUUAGAAGAAUACGAACGCACCGGACACGCAAAAGUUAUGCCGCUAAACGAGGAUUUAUCAAUGUCAUCGCAUAACUCUAAGCACCAACAACAGAAGCAAAAUAUGCAUACGUCUAAUUCCAAAAACAAUUCAAAAGAAAAACCAACCCCUAUGUCGGACAUAUGUGGCGAUUCCUCGUUAUUAAUUGAAAUCAAAACUGAACCGUUCGAUGAUAAUAUUGAGCCACACAUUACAACUCCAGGGAGUCCACAACGUCAAAAUGAACAGCAGCAAUCACAAGAACAAAGCCAACGAGAACAGCAUAAGAAAGACGAGAAAGAUUUAUUGAGCACGUCAUCGACAUUGCUGCUUAGUAAACGACAACAGUAUUUAUCGGCAUUGCCAGCGACUGAACAUCAACAACAACUUCUUGAAACGCCAGAGAACACAGCAGUGGAAACGGCUGCUGUUACGCCGUUGCAGCAGCAUAAUCACCAACAACAACAUUUGUCUGGCCAAUCAAAUCAAAAUAUUCACCAGCAACAAUCACAGCAUAUCAACCUAUAUAGUUAUGAAACCAAAUCAGAAAGCGGCAGUUCGGACAUCCUCUCCAGACCUCAGUCACCAAACAACAGUUCUACAGUUGUAGCCACUCACUAUGCCAGCAUUAAUGAGUUAAUAAACCAACAAUUGGACAAUUUGCCGCUCGGCCAAAAUAGCAGCAAUAUAAAUGCUGCCAACAUGCACGGUAACAACAUGGGUCCGCCGAAAAACUUUCAAAGCAGCAAAUCUUUCGAUAAAAAUUCGCCGUCUUCUCAGUUUGACACCAAUUCGAAUUCAUCGAAUGCAUCGUCCACAUCUAGCGGAAAGCGCGCAAAUCGCACACGCUUUACGGACUAUCAAAUUAAGGUACUACAGGAAUUCUUUGAGAAUAACUCCUAUCCAAAGGAUAGCGAUUUGGAGUAUUUAAGUAAGCUAUUAUUGCUUUCUCCACGAGUUAUUGUUGUCUGGUUUCAGAAUGCUCGCCAAAAACAGCGGAAGAUUUAUGAAAAUCAACCAAAUAACUCCCUUUACGAAACUGAAGAGAAAAAACAUAAUAUUAACUACGCCUGCAAAAAGUGUAAUAUGACAUUUCAGCGCUAUUACGAGUUGAUACGCCACCAGAAAAAUCAUUGCUUUAAAGAAGAAAAUAAUAAAAAGUCGGCCAAGGCACAAAUAGCCGCAGCACAGAUCGCACAAAAUCUCAGCUCAGAAGACUCCAAUUCCUCGAUGGAUAUAAAUAAUAGCAGUGCAUAUCAAUUACAUCAUCAACAUAUUUCUAAUGCUGGAGCAACAGCGGUGUUGUCAAGUACUGCCAACGUUUCCAGCACAUCACCCAGCAGCGCAGCUCCUGACCUUACAUCGCCACAGCAUUUAUUUAGUAAAUCGUCAAUGUCAAUGACUGAUUUUAGUCCAUCCACUACACCCACUCCGCCACAAACACAACGCGAGCGUAGCGAUAGCAGUGAAUUGCUGCCGCAAGGUCCAGUGCACAAGUCAAAAUUCGAAUGUGACAAAUGCAAAUUACAAUUCAGUUACUACGAACAUUUCCGCGAGCAUCAGUUAUUACAUCUAGUGAAUCCUAGCUUAUUUACCACACAAAUCACAAACUUACCAGACGCUUAUGGUUCAUUUGGCAGCAUAUUGCAAAGUUUACAGCAGGUUGCAACUGCCAGUGCCACGCAUCAGCAGCACCAUCAAUUCCUGGAACAGCAAGACCAACCACCCGCCAAAAAACGUAAGUGUUCUGAAACAUCUUCAACAACAGAUGAAGUGCCAGGAAUUUGUGGCUCUGGUGAUGGUGAAAUCAGCAGCUCUGCCUCAUUUUCAAAAAGUAAAAGAUACGAUUUUUUAUAUCAGUAUUUUAUGCAAAACGAAAGCAACAAUGAAUUGAAGCAACAAUUUCAAGCACAACACAAAAAAUCAAAUGAACCAGAAAUCGAAAUAGAAUAUUUAGCAAACUUUUACCAUCAAAGUGAGUUACGAAAGCGUAGUAAUUAUGAUUUCUUGUAUCAAUAUUAUCAAAAAAAUGAACACAUAAAGCAAAUGAGUGCUUUGCCGUCCCAAGCGGGAUUUUUCGGUAGUGAGAAUAAGCCAAAUAUAGAUGUUCUACUACAGUACUAUCAACUGAAUGAAUCAAAAAAGUUUUUUCAGUUAAAUGCCUCGAACCAAGAAAUAAAUGACCACACGGCAGCGUCGCCAAUAUCGACAUCACAUGUCCAACGUGUAAAUAAUCCGAUACCAAUAUCGACUAGUGACCAUACAACCACACCUAGAGUUGAUCGGUAUGAUAUAACCGAUAUGAGUUUGUUCAAAAACUCUUUGGAUGUCCUUAAUAGUACUAUUAAUUUUCCAGAUUACGAUAAUGACAACAACGACCACGAAAAAAGUAGUAAUGGUUGUGGUAUGGAUGUUGACGACGCUGAAAUUUAUACUGAUACCGAUGAUCAUAUUAAUGACAAUAACCAAAAAUCGAAUGAAAUCUAUGGUCACAAAAGCCAAAUAAACGUAGUGAAAAGGAGUAACGAUACUGAUAACAAGGAUUAUAAGCAAGUGGCUAAUAAAUUAGCGAAAAUAGAUCAAAUUAAUAAACUAGCUACUAACCUACAAUCUCCAUCUUCUUAUGGCAAUGAUCAACAUAAGCUCAAGAAUUUAAGUAAAUCUCUGGUCAGAUGUGUAAAAAAUCAAAAAGAUAAUCUGGCAAAGCGUAAAGCAUCAAAUGAGUCAUCAAAAACAAAAGCGACAACAACUACCAACUUUAACAAUGACCAUAUUGAUAAUUUAAAAGAUUUUCUUCAUGUCAAUCAAAAAUCCGAAUCGACAGAAAAAAGUAAACAGCAGAAGUAUUAUAACGAUUUACUGCAAGCACAAAAUGAAACCAACGGCCUUGGAAAUAAUGAAUUAGCCCUACAAACAAUGGAUAAGAGACAGUUACCAGAGACUCCAAUAUCAUCACCGAAUUCCACUACAAAUUCAAAUAAUAAACCUACCGUUGGGUCAUCGAACACAACAGCAGACACAGUCACUGGUAUUACUGAAAAACAACAAAGCAAACGUUUACGCACUACAAUACUGCCAGAGCAAUUAAAUUUUCUAUAUGAAUGCUAUCAAAACGAAUCGAACCCAAGUAGAAAAAUGCUUGAGGAGAUCGCAAAAAAAGUUAAUCUUAAAAAACGGGUUGUACAAGUUUGGUUCCAAAACUCACGUGCCAAAGAUAAAAAAUCACGCAAUCAACGCUUUACCGCUAUAUCCGAUGACAGUAACUACGAGGACGCUUCGCAAAAUAACCGAGAUUAUGGACUGUUUCAAAAAAAUGCAUUGAAAUCCAUUAGAAGACACGGCAGCAAGGACGCGAACUUUUUACCUGACUCUAAUAUUAGUAAUAACACCAACACUGGAAUGGAAUUGGGCGGAUGUAAUUUAUCCCAACUGUCUCAAGUAAACAUUCAGCAACAUGCCUUAUCUAUUGAGCACAUAUGUAAAGUAAAAAAAUUAUUGGAGAAAACCGCUGUUGAGGUCAAACUUAAUAUCGAUUCUAAAAUCUUCUCAACUGCAGGAACUGAUGACAACGUAGAAUAUGGGAAUAAGCAAAAUGCAACUGACAAGCCAAAUACUAACUCCGAUUUAAAAGAAAGAAAAUAUGUCACGAGUGACGAAGCUGAUUUUAACAGUACUCAUGAUAGUAAUUUAAAGGCGCAUAUGGAUAAUGAUAUUGCCGGUAGCGAUAGACUUGGCACAUUUACGAGAAUAUAUAAGGAACUUAAACUACAAAAUGCAAAGAAACGGGCCAUCGAUUAUACAUCCAAUAACCAAAACAGCGAAUUAAUGGAAUGGUAUGAACGUGGCAAUAUUAAUAAUGAAAGCAAGGGACUAACAACAAAGGACAUGAGUUACAAUCGAUGCAAAGGGCUACAACCACAGAUAACUAAACAGACUUCAGAAGAAAAUAAUAAAAGACCAGAAAGCUAUAAAAUUAUUAAUUUGACUUUCAGUGCCGAGAAUAUUGACAACACUGAUAAUAAAAGCAGUAACGGAAAUAAAAAUUGUGGUCAACAUGUCGAAGCUCAAGAUUAUAAGCAUUACAAUGACCUUAACAACAUAGUCAAUAACAAAGUAAUGAAAACGCAAUAUAAUAUUAACGAUAGCGAACGCAGCAGCAGCAAAAAUAAUUUUUUUUCUUCAAACAUAUCGCAGGUAACCAGUAUUACUGACGAUGAAGAUACGUAUAUAGGCGAAUACAAGGAUAGUAGUGAUGGGAAUGCACUAGAUCUAAAUGAUAAUAAUGAGACCAAACAAAACCCAUCAACUAGAAAUGAAAGAAUAACAGCAAACAGUAGCAGCACAUCUUGUACAUUAACAACCAGUACAACGCAUACGCAAUUAACUAAUGCACAUGAAAAAUAUAUUAUUCAGCAAAUAUUCAAUUGUAAUCAAAUAACUGAAGGAAUCGUCUUGACAACGUGAAACUAUCUCAAAUCUUCCAGUCACACCAUUCGGCAUGGUAAGGCAUACCGAUGAACAUUCGAACAUGACAUACAAGGUGCAUUCCAAAGUAAACAGAUAAUUUCUCUAGUGACGGGUUCGAAUAAUUGGACGGCUACGAUGACUAACAAUAAAAACAUGGUCAUAUAAUGAAAAUCGGUUAUAAGAGAAAUCUGCCAAGCGGAGUGAUAAAUACAAAACAUACUAAAAGUUAAAAGGAUUUAUUGCAAAGAAUACUCGCAACAUGUUUUAUGAUAACAAAAAAACUUAUACUAAAAGACAGAUACACAUAGUUCCUAUUUUAAAAAAAAAAUUAAAAAUAAAUAAAAAAAUAAAAUAAAAUAAAGUAACAUUAGUAACGUAAUUUAAAAUCUAACACCUCGAUUUAUAAAGAAGAAAAUAUUACAUUAUUCAAUAUAAAGCGGCUGAUAUACACGUGAAAAUAUACAUAGAAACACACAAAAUUUAUGUUAGUUGCAGUUACGCAUUAAUAAGCGAAAAUAAGAAUAUAAAUAAAGAAAAGUAGGAAAAACAAACAUUGAUAUGGAAGCGCCAAAGAGUGACACAAUCAAAGUGUGCUUCAAUAGAUAUGAAUGAGAAUAUAUUACAAUAUUUUGAGUGUUGUGUAAUUAACACGUAAUAUGUAUUAAAGGAACCAAGAUUUAAUUAUCUAAAAAUUAAGGCUGGGGUCUCAAUCAGUCAUAACCAAAACGAAAAGAAACAAACAAACGUGUAUUACAAUAAAUUAAAAGGAUAAAAUUUUAGUGAAAAUAAACGAAAACUAACAUAAAAUAAAUUUUCGAAAAAUAUGCAACAAAGUUCCUAGCAUUUUAGUGUGCUACAUACUAUUUUGCCUAUGUUUAUUCCUUUAUUAAAUUAAAGCUGAAGAUCUGGCUAAUUUAAAUGUCUUGUAAUGUUGAAAGGUAAUCAAUUACGCAAAAACCAACAACGCAGAGUGGUCAGUUAAAUUAAGCAAUUUAUAUUUAUAACUUGUAACUAUUAAAGAAGGUAUUUAUUUGAAAAUAUAAUGAAACAAUGGUCGAAUAUAUUGAUUAAGUUAAUUAUACAAUAUAUAGUAAACUACAUCCUGUAAAACUUAUCUCCAUGAACGCCCUUGCGAAGUAUAAUAAAGUAUCAGCAUUACAAACCAUUA